rnacentral:rRNA from 1 species
GUCCUUGCCGUAAACGAUGUAUACUUGAUGUAAUUGGGCUCAACCCUGAUUGUGUCGAAGCUAACGCGAUAAGUAUACCGCCUGGGGAGUACGCUCGCAAGGGUGAAACUCAAAAGAAUUGACGGGGGCCCGCACAAGCAGUGGAGCAUGUGGUUUAAUUCGAUGCAACGCGAAGAACCUUACCCAGGCUCGAAAAUGUAAUGGACGAUAUCAGAAAUGGUAUUUUCCGCAAGGACCGUUAUAUAGGUGCUGCAUGGCUGUCGU